rnacentral:hammerhead_ribozyme from 1 species
AUCCAGUGACGAGUUCCAAAUAGGACGAAAUGCGAAUCCUGAAU